CGGGGGGAGCAAGCGUUGUCGGAUUUACUGGGCGUAAAGGGCGCGUAGGCGGCCUCUGCAAGUCGACUGUGAAAUCUCCGGGCUUAACCCGGAACGGUCAGCCGAUACUGCAGGGCUAGAGUGCAGAAGGGGCAACUGGAAUUCUCGGUGUAGCGGUGAAAUGCGUAGAUAUCGAGAGGAACACCUGCGGCGAAGGCGGGUUGCUGGGCUGACACUGACGCUGAGGCGCGAAAGCUAGGAGAGCGAACGGGAUUAGAUACCCCGGUAGUCCUAGCCUUAAACGAUGAAUGCUUGGUGUCUGGGGUUUUAUAGUCCCCGGGUGCCGUCGCUAACGCUUUAAGCAUUCCGCCUGGGGAGUACGGUCGCAAGACUG
rnacentral:rRNA from 1 species